ensembl:processed_transcript
GAAGCACCCAAAGGAUACCUAUGAGAACACGGGGAGAACGUUCAAACCAGCUACCACUGAGUGCUAACCACUGAGCCACCGUGUCGUCUCAGAAGAUUACAGUCUCAUGAUGGAUAUCAUGGUUUAAUGGUCUUCUGGAUGUUGAUUGUGUGAUUGAUUUCUUGGACAGUGCUGGUCCUGCCUCGUCCUGUUCCUGCUUGUUACUCAAGGAAGACAGAUGCAGCCGAUGAAUUUAGAAGCACUUGCGGUGGACAAUGCUGGGACCUGCCUCAUCGUAUUCCUGCUUGGUGAUCCACAUCUGCUGGAAGGUGGACAGGGAAGCCAAGAUGGAGCCACCGAUCCAUACGGAGUAUUUACGCUCAGGUGGGGCGAUGAUCUGGGAGGGAAAAAAAGAGAAGUAUGAGCAGGUUAGUUGUUAUAUCAAUGAGGAACGUAAACGUGUUUACAUUAGAACUACAAGAAUUCUAUAAUAAGACUGUGCCAAAUGCCAUUUUCUGGUAAUUUUUAAAUUUGAAGCUUCUACCUUCUUUAUAUUUGACUAUUUCAUUUGCAAUAUUUAAUUGUGUAAUCGUUUAUUGUCCAACUGUUAAGAGAAAGGAAAAGUUUUUUUUUAAAUGUUGUAAAAAUGUUGUGUUUGAAAGCCUAAAUGCCAAGAAAUAUGUAUUAAAGCUGAAUACUUCAAUAGAUAAAAA